rnacentral:rRNA from 1 species
UACGUAGGGGGCAAGCGUUGUCCGGAAUCAUUGGGCGUAAAGAGCGUGUAGGCGGUCCGUUAAGUCGGCUGUGAAAGUCCAGGGCUCAACCCUGAGCGUGCUUCCGAUACGGGCAGACUAGAGGUAUGCAGGGGAGAACGGAAUUCCUGGUGUAGCGGUGGAAUGCGCAGAUAUCAGGAGGAACACCGGUGGCGAAGGCGGUUCUCUGGACGGUGACUGACGCUGAGACGCGAAAGCGUGGGGAGCAAACAGG